rnacentral:rRNA from 1 species
GGCUCUUUGAUAAUUUAGAUAAAGAGUCGGACCUGCCCAGUGAAAAUUUUUAACGGCCGCGGUACUCUGACCGUGCAAAGGUAGCAUAAUCAUUUGCCUUAUAAUUGAAGGCUUGUAUGAAUGGUUUGACAAGAAUAUGGCUGUCUCUAUGUGAUUUUAUAGAAUUUUAUCUUGAAGUGAAGAAGCUUGAAUAAAAUUAAUAGACAAGAAGACCCUAUCGAGCUUCAAAAAAGGUCAUGGAUGCUUUAAAUAUGUUUAAAAAAUUAUCUGUGGUGAAUUUUGGUUGGGGCGACUUAGGAACAAAUUGAGCUUCCUAAAUUUAUUUGAUAUAGGCAAAAUGAUCCAAAAGAUUUUGAUUAACGAAAUUAGUUACCGUAGGGAUAACAGCAUUAUCUUCUUUAAGAGUUCUUAUCGAAAAGAGGGUUUGUGACCUCGAUGUUGGACCAGAAUGUCCUAAAGAUGCAACAGUCUUUAAGGGUUGGUCUGUUCGACCAUUAAAAUUCUACG